rnacentral:rRNA from 1 species
AUUGAACGCUGGCGGCAUGCCUUACACAUGCAAGUCGAACGGUAACAGGUCUUCGGAUGCUGACGAGUGGCGAACGGGUGAGUAAUACAUCGGAACGUGCCUAGUAGUGAGGGAUAACUACUCGAAAGAGUGGCUAAUACCGCAUGAGAUCUACGGAUGAAAGCAGGGGAUCGCAAAACCUUGUGCUACUAGAGCGGCCGAUGGCAGAUUAGGUAGUUGGGGGGAUAAAAGCUUACCAAGCCGACGAUCUGUAGCUGGUCUGAGAGGACGAUCGGCCAAACUGUGACUGAGACACGGCCCAGACUCCUACGGGAGGCAGCAGUGGGGAAUUUUGGACAAUGGGCGAAAGCCUGAUCCAGCAAUGCCGCGUGCAGGAUGAAGGCCUUCGGGUUGUAAACUGCUUUUGUACGGAACGAAAAGCCCCGGGUUAAUACCCUGGGGUCAUGACGGUGCCGUAAGAAUAAGCACCGGCUAACUACGUGCCAGCCGCCGCCGUAA